rnacentral:rRNA from 1 species
GCCUGCUAAAUAGUUCACCGAUCUCCGACGGUCGGGCUGGACUUCUUAGAGGGACAAGCGGCGUUUAGUCGCACGAGAUUGAGCAAUAACAGGUCUGUGAUGCCCUUAGAUGUUCGGGGCCGCACGCGCGCUACACUGAAGGCAUCAGCGUGUUCUACCCUGGUCCGACAGGAUUGGGUAACCCGAUGAACCGCCUUCGUGCUAGGGAUUGGGGCUUGUAAUUAUUCCCCAUGAACGAGGAAUUCCCAGUAAGCGCAAGUCACUAGCUUGCGUUGAUUACGUCCCUGCCCUUUGUACACACCGCCCGUCGCUACUACCGAUUGAGUGGUUUAGUGAGGCCCUCGGACUGGUCUCGGCACGGCGUUCGCGUCGAGCCGGUGCGCCGGAAAGACGGUCAAACUUGCUCACUUAGAGGAAGUAAAAGUCGUAACAAGGUUUCCGUAGGUGAACCUGCGGAAGGAUCAUUACCGAAUCCGCAACGUUUAUGGCGUGCGUCUGAGGCGGCUCUCGCGGGUCACUCGGGCACUCGGCAAUCGUUGCGAGACGCGCUCACGCGUCGCUUUUGGGUUCGGGGACGGCGCGAGCGGCCGUACGUGUCGCCCGCCGCUCUCCGCAGUCUCACGCAGCAGCGGCCGCUGUUGCUAUUGGGACUGAAAUAAAGUCGUUUGGCGUCGUCGGUCUGCGUAGGACGAGCGCGAGCGAUCGCCGGUGAGAUCGCAUUCGCCUGCAUGCUCUGCCGCCCUACGUGCCGGCUGCCGCACUGCUGCGUGAUCGAUGUUCGCGCAGUGGUGGCGCCCAACGCAACACGCAAACGUUUGAGGAGUCAAACUUCCGUCGAGGUACCUGUCCGCCGAGCGACGCCUCAGAGCGUUCGGCGGGGCAGCUUGCCACGGCGAGAGUGAACCGCACUGCUGCAGCAGAGUGAUUCGCUUUCGUCGUGCGCGUUAAGCUAGGUUCAAAGAGUCGCGGUGCGCGUGCUCUCUGCUUUCCGUGUGGUCCGCGCAGCCGUGUGCGGACCUCGCGGCAGAACAGUUGCAUGCGAGACACAACGAUCACCGGUCUGGGACGGAGCUGUAACCGUCUCCUCUGCGGCCGCCUCGACACGCUCGUCGCCGAGCGUUACUACGCGCUCGGCGCCGUACGCUUCGUACCGUAAACGAUUGUGACAAGAGACAAAGCUCGGACCGACGACCGGAAUGUUGCCCCGGUCGCGUCCGCUGAGCGAACACAUGCGCGAGUGUGUGCAUAGCACAACUCUAAGCGGUGGAUCACUCGGCUCGUGCGUCGAUGAAGAGCGCAGCCAGCUGCGUGAAUUAAUGUGAAUUGCAGGACACAUCGAGCAUCGACAUCUUGAACGCACAUGGCGGCCUCGGGCACUCUCGGGGCCGCGCCCGUCUGAGGGUCGGUUUUGCAUUCGAGUCGCGAGCAAUCGUCUCGCGCUCUGCCUGUCGCGCCGGCGGCCUCCUGCUAGCAGCAGGAGUCUAAUGGCUCGUCGGGCUAAAACGAGAUUGGGGUUCACAGUCGUGAACGCGCGUGCUCGUGCCAGCGUGCGUGUUGCAGCACCACUGCAGACGCGUGCCACUGGGCGGCCACGGACGGUCACUCGCGGUUGCCAGAUAGACCAACGAGCGAGCCUCCGUGAAGCUGCCGAGCGUCUAACGUAGCGGCGGCGGACGCACACGCAGAAGAAAACACACGUACGUGUGUUCCUUCAGUGCACGAGUCUUUUGCUUUUCGACCUCAGAUCGGACGCGAUUACCCGCUGAAUUUAAGCAUAUCACUAAGCGGAGGAAAAGAAACUAACAAGGAUUCCCGUAGUAACGGCGAGUGAACGGGGAAUAGCCCAGCGUCGAAUCCCUCGGCUCUUAGUCGACGGGAAUUGUGACGUUGAGGUCAGCCUCUGAGCCGUUCGGCGUGCGUCGAAGUCCUCCUGAACGGGGCUUCCCAGAGCGGGUGUUAGGCCUUUACUGGCGCGCGCCGGCGUCUCUCUGAGCGACCGUAGAGUCGGGUUGUUUGGGAAUGCAGCC